rnacentral:rRNA from 1 species
CGAGCGAGGUAGCAAUACCUAGCGGCAGACGGGUGCGUAACAUGUGGGAAUCUGCCUUUUGGUUCAGGACAACAUUGGGAAACCUGUGCUAAUACCGGAUAAGUCCUAACGGAGAAAGUUUUAAUGCCAAAAGAUGAGCCCGCAUUUGAUUAGCUAGUUGGUAAGGUAAAAGCUUACCAAGGCGACAACCAAUAGCUGAUUUGAGAGGAUGAUCAGCCACACUGGGACUGAGAUACGGCCCAGACUCC